rnacentral:rRNA from 1 species
UACGUAGGGAGCAAGCGUUGUCCGGAAUCAUUGGGCGUAAAGCGCGCGUAGGCGGCCCUGUAAGUCCGUUGUGAAAGUCAAAGGCUCAACCUUUGAAAGCCGAUGGAUACUGCAGGGCUAGAGUCCGGAAGAGGCGAGUGGAAUUCCUGGUGUAGCGGUGGAAUGCGCAGAUAUCAGGAGGAACACCAAUAGCGAAGGCAGCUCGCUGGGACGGUACUGACGCUAAGGCGCGAAAGCUGGGGGAGCGAACAGG